rnacentral:rRNA from 1 species
AGUCGAGAAUCUUCGGCAAUGAGCGCAAGCUUGACCGAGCGAUGCCGCGUGCGGGAUGAAGGCCCUCGGGUUGUAAACCGCUGUCGUAGGGGAGGAAGGCUCCGUGAAGAGCGGGGUUUGACCUAUCCUAGGAGGAAGUACGGGCUAAGUACGUGCCAGCAGCCGCGGUAAUACGUACCGUACGAACGUUAUUCGGAAUUACUGGGCUUAAAGGGUUUGUAGGCGGCCACGUAAGUCAGGUGUGAAAUCCCUCGGCUCAACCGAGGAACGGCGCUUGAUACUGCGUGGCUUGAGGGAGACAGGGGUAAGCGGAACUGAUGGUGGAGCGGUGAAAUGCGUUGAUAUCAUCAGGAACACCGGUGGCGAAAGCGGCUUACUGGGUCUCUUCUGACGCUGAGGAACGAAAGCUAGGGUAGCGAA